UACGUAGGGGGCAAGCGUUGUCCGGAUUUAUUGGGCGUAAAGAGCGUGUAGGCGGCCAAGCAGGUCCGCUGUGAAAACUCGAGGCUCAACCUCGAGACGUCGGUGGAAACCGUUUGGCUAGAGUCCGGAAGAGGAGAGUGGAAUUCCCGGUGUGGCGGUGAAAUGCGCAGAUAUCGGGAAGAACACCCGUGGCGAAGGCGGCACUCUGGGACGGUACUGACGCUGAGACGCGAAAGCGUGGGGAGCGAACAGG
rnacentral:rRNA from 1 species